ACUAACUACUUUAAUCAGAAUGGUAUAUAUGUACCAUACUUUAAAAGCAUAAAUGCAUUAUUGUAUCUAAUUUAUUUGCCCUUUUUAUUUUAUAGUGUUCAUCGUAUAACAUUGCUGUCGGUUUAACAUGUUUCUUGUAUAAAUAUAUCGUUUUCUUGUUUUUUUUUUUUUAAUUUUUAAAUAUUAUUAAUUAUAACAUAAUAGUAGGUACGAUUAUAUAGGUACUCAACACAUUGCAGAUAACAAUUAAAACGUUACCCUUACGUAGUAUAAUAACUCUGUUUUAUGAUUAUUAUUCCAGUUAUAAGCUUGUAUAAAUACUGUUAUGUUAAUUUCGAAAGAAUAGGUAGGUAGUUUAUAUAAGAUGUUGUGCUAUGUUAUGUUGGUGAACGAUCAAUAUGAAAUAAUGAUAAUAAUAUGUUUUGAUUAUAUGUAGUUAUAUUGUAGUAAACUGUCAGUAUGAAACACAAUCAGAUAGAUAAUGUCAUGUAAUUGUGUAAAAAAAAGAAAAUUAUUAUUCAGUAAAACAUAUUCUUUCUACAUGGAUAUAAAACAAAUUUGAGCUACAAAUAUAUUAUAUGGGAGGGAAAAGCAUAUUAUCCUAUAACCGUACGCAUAUUCAUGGUACAUUGCUCCAAACGUGUUUUUUUUCUACUGACGAUUACCAAGUUUGAAAUGGAAAAAAAAUUUGUAAUUUACAAAAAAUUACUAUGGUAUCGAACGAAAAGAAUUAAUCGUUAUGGCUGCAGUUGACUUCUUGGGUUAUGCUAUAUUAUUGAGUAGGCCAUAAAAAAGAUGGAAGCGAAAUACGGUGUAGAAGUUUGUAAGAAUGUCAUUUCCUUUUCGGAAAACCAUGUUCACGGGUUCCGUUUAUUUUUAUUACCUAUAUUGAGUUCCAGUGCGAUUUCAAUCUCGAGGUUUUCAUGCUUGGAUGAGCUACUUGUGAGAAGAAGGUCGUAUCGAAUUUGGGAGAAGGUGAAGAGCUGAGUAACUAUUAUAUUUCUGCUUUUAUAACCAUUGAGAAAUAGGAGAAUGUAUGAAAAACUUUAUAAACCAUAUAUGUAGCUAAUGCGCAAGCACGUGUCACACACUUCCUGGGUCCUAGGUUUACCCAAUUAAACAAUUAUCAAACCUCCUACACACAUUUGCAAAAUAAAUCAUAUUUUCACGUUGGUUGAAUAUUUUUAUUGCAAAUUAUCAUACCAUUUAAAGUAAUAUUUAAACGAUCCGUAAUAAUUUUAAAAUAAUUUAUUUACAAAUUGGUUUCUACAAGUAGGUUAGAUUAAGUUAGGAAGUCAAUAUUUUAUAUUAUUGGCACGUAAAAUCUCGGAAAUAAAGGAGUAAAUAAGUGGGUAAAGUUAAGCAAUUUUAUUUAAAAAUAUUUAUAAUUUUUUACGUUCAACUGAUUCUUUACUCAUAAAUCCAACUCAGAUUGGUAUUUAGGUUUAAAGUUUAAACUGACGAGGAUACUGCACAAGAUGCACUUCUUACGCCAUUUUUGUUGUACUACAUUUAAUGAAUCCAUUAGAUGUAAUUUUAUUUUCUUGUACUAUGUUAAAUGUAAAUAUUUUAUAGAUCAGUCAUCACUAUAAUAUGGUGGAGGUAAAGCUUAAAAUUAUUUUUUUUAAAAUUCGCCAAAAUUAAAAUUUCGAUUUGCAAAUCCUAAUAAUCAAUUUCAUUUUUUUAAAUUGGUAUGAAAAAUCUAAUAUUGGGCAUGGUAAGAUUUCGUGGACACUGAAGUCGACAAGCAGAAGUUGUACGACACGAGUGCUUGACAUUUUAUGUAUGGUGUUGCUGUGUAUCUGGUUUAUUAUAUUUUAUUAAACAAACUGUUUUUUUACUCUACGUGACAAAGUCGACAGUUUAAUUUAAAAAUUCCUACUUCCAAAUUCUAAGGAUGUAUUAUUAUUAUAAAGUUUUUUUUCACCCCUUAUUUAUUUCUGACGAAACGCAAUAUAAUGUAUACAUAUUACAUAUACAUACUGCAUUUAACGUGCAGUACUGCAGUAAAUACUUUCGAGUUCAAGUAAUAACAGAGCAUAUUAUUAUCAUAAGCAUGUAUGUAUGUAUUAUUAUUACAGUCCUUCGUAGUAGUAACGAGAGACCAAAAAAUCAUCAUCAUGAGGAAUACGUUUAUGAUGGAAACGUGCGGGUAAAAUUCAAGAAAUAAAAAUAAGGUCCAAAGUCUCACGAUCUCGGACGUGUGUAAUAAAAAAUUGAAAUAAAAAUCGUCGAAAAUAUCGUCGCCAUUGCGAAAGUUUUCUAGUCGUCAUUUUUGACAAUCGUGUUAUUUAAAUAACUUAAUUCGUACAAUUGUUUUCACCAUCACAUGUACAAAUUCGGAGUGUAAGGAGUGUGGACGAGUUUUGGAGAUGUUUCACUUUAUCGUUUGGAAGACGCAUCGAUCAUAUUGUGUGGCACCGAGUCCAGUACCAAGCCCUAUACUUCUUUCCAAAUAAGAACAUACCGGUUCUGCGCACUUUUUUCCCCUUCCACCGGUCACUACUUAUUCCUUUAUGUGGGAGAUGUGCGAAGCUGGUCGGAAACCGGUCGCCGUCCGAUGCGUUCUUAUUUGGAAAGAAGCAUAGAACCAUGGGAAUAGAGUUAAUCAAUCAUGAGGUGGGGAGAGGAGUAUAAUGAUUGAGCAAUGCCGAAUAUAUUUUGUUUUAUUCAAAAUAACUCUUCAAGUACCUAUUGCUGAUAUUAGAUUAUUACUCAUGCACUUUUUGUAAUUAUAGCUAAUAGAUAUGUUUAUUUUGUUAUAACCGAUAAACAUUUUUUUGUAUCUAUUUCUUUAUAUAGAAACUAAGUAAAUGUUUAUAAUAAUUGACUAAUGUGAACUUCCCAUUGCUGUAUUAUUUGUAAAAUAUUAUAAAAAAUGCAUGUAAGUACUAAUAAGUUUCAAAUUUCUAAAUGGUAAUAAAAAAAAUUUAUUUUUAAAUACGAGGAACAAUAAAAAUAAUAUUUAUGUAUUUAGAUCUUAUCAUUAACAUUCAAUCAAUGUUAAUAACUAUAAAAUAUGAGGGAGGAGAGGACUAAGGAUACUUUAAAAACAAUUAUUGUUUCCUCCCUCUCGGCUAAAACUCCAGUGCACGACGCUGCCUAUAAUAUAUAUAUAUACAUAUACGAUACUAUGUCGCAUACACUGCAUAAAUGUAUAAUUUGUGCGUAUAUUUCAAAGAUACAGCACUUGUCUUACAAAAUUUGUACAAUGCAGGUCGGCGCAAUAAUAAUUGUAUUGUAUUAUUAUUGAAGUAUCGAUGACGCGUGGCAGUCAACCGCUUAUUAUAAAUACUUCGAAUUCCCAAACUUAGUACUGAAACGUAUUCUGCGUAGUCAAUAUUAUAUUUCACGGAGCCCAUAAAGUGUGGCAAACGUGUGUUGUUUUCCAAGUAUAAAAUAUGCACAUGGAUUAUUCAUGAACCAACGUAAAACGUAUAGUAUGCAGUUUCGACUGCAAUGUUACAGAUAUUACAUAUCUAUUUUAUAUUUAUUCGGCUCCUAUACAAAAUAUAUCACACAGUGUAUGAUUCAUGAUCAGAAAUCCGUAUCACGGUACAUUGUUAUUAUUAUUGUCACGGUUUGAGGACCAUGGGCACAAAUCAUAGUGGCGCUGAGGGAGCAACCUUAUAGUUCUAGAGGUAACGUCACAAAUUCCAUGAUUAAACAGCAUCCGCCUACGGUCAUAAACUCAUGAAUCAUAAAUCAUAAUAUUGUAGCAAACAAUAUUCAUUUUUAUAGUGUGCUUUCGGUUUACAUCGUCAAAAAUGUAUAAAAUAUAAAUAUAUACAUAGGUACAUCCGGUACAAGACGAUUAUUUUAAUAGUAAACAUUAAAAUUUUUUUGGUAAAUGAAAACAACACUGAAUUCAAUACUUUUAUACCACAGCCCUUAUCCAUUUUUUCUAAUAUUAUAAGUAGGUACCAACUUAAAAUUUUUUUUUGACUGUUUAUGCCAGUAUAGGUGAUUAUACUUAGCGAUUAUCUGUUGGUUCAAAAUAUAAAAUUACUUUAUGGUGGAUUCUCUACUUAUUUUUCCAGUCGUAUUUUCAAUAUUUUCCUCCGUUAUAAAAUAUUUUUUAUUUAUUUUAUUUGUUUUAUUAAAAAUACGAACAGAUAUUAACGUUAACAAUAAAAAAAAAAAAUAUGUAAUGAAUUGUACCUACGCCCUACACCAAAGUAUAUAAUAUUAUUAUAUUAUUAAAAAUAAAAAAUAAAAAUAGGCUUAAACCUCGAACCGUCUCUGUUUGGUUUCGAGGGUUCUAUAAUAUGUUAAAGGGCUUAAAAUAUAUACCGUCGUGAUAUAAGACUGUUGAUAGCCUUAUAACAAUAUUAUAGAGUGGUAACUUUUGCAGCAACGCGAGCUCAAUAUGCCUAGUGAAUACGCAAUCCUAAUGGUAAAUAAGUUUCGAAAAAGAGAAAUGUCACAGGUCGUACACUGUUUUUCACAAUUUAUUGAUAAGUAAUAUAUAGUAUACGAUCUGGCUUUCAAAGAUUAUACAUUAUUAUAUUAUAUAAUAUACUAAUGGGCAACUUAAAAUAAAAAAACGGAAAGAGGCCGGAAAAUACGUUCAACAUAUUAAAUACAUUAUGAUUUACUAUUGUUACUUAUUGCAGAGACCUCAAACCUCGUCUUAGGGUUUAUACCAAUUAUACCUCGUUUAUCACAUGGUUUUUAUACCAAUAAUCGGAUUGAAAUAGAUGCGUAGAUUUAAAUUCAUUAUUAUUUUCUUUUGACUGGAAAAACCUCAUGUAUUAUGUACAUAUUAUUAUAAUAAAGUAUGUUUUAUGAUGUGAAUUACUAAAAUGUGAUUAUGAAUAUUCAUAUUAUUAUGUUGUGCGUGAAUAAUAAUCAAAAAAAGUGACAUUUUAUGAAUAAACUGUUGACCGUGAAUGAUCGAAAUAAUAUCACGUGUACCUACAAUUUAUAUAAUUAUUAUUAUAACAAUAUUGUACCUAUAUCUUGACUACACCAUAAAUUAAAUAUUGACUGAGUUUUUGUCACUGUUUUCGUAUAGAUAACAUUUAAAAUGUAUUGUAUAUACGGUAUAAUUAAAAAUAUGAAGAAUAUUAUAAAAGUGGAUAAAGGUAGGUAUAUCCAAAUCUAUAUACAUAUAACCAUGUUUGUGUGUUUAUCAGUACUGGGUAAUUUUGGGAAUUACAAAAUAUAUCAAAGCUUUAUGGCCCAUAUUAUAAUAUAGGUUCACAUAAUAUUAGGCUUGGUUGGUCUCACGUUGGUUUUUGUUUUGAUUAAGUGACAUUAAAAAAGAAAUACUUUAUAGAGAAUACAACGUUUGCUGGGUCAGCUGGUAUGCUAUAAAAUUUUGUUUUUUAAUUAUCGUGAUUAGAAUAAAAAAAAAAUCAUCUUUCAUUUAAGAACACAUUUUAUGUAAUUUGUAUAUGCACAUAAUACGAUACUAAUAUUGAGAAUGAGUUAUAACAUACCAGCUACCUAUUAAGUUUACUAAAAAGUUUAGUCAAUAAAAUAUGAUGAGCGAUGACUAUCAAAAUAACUGUGGAAAAAUGUCAAGUAAAAUGCAAAUAAUAAUUUAGUGGCCAAUGUGUAAAAUACAAUACACACAAUACGGUUGAUUGUAUAACUACAGUGCCUAACUACUCUAUAAAAAAAAAAAACAGAUUCGAGUUACAUAUUUUAAUAUUAUCGAUGUCUUUCUAGAUAC